GAUGAACGCUGGCGGCGCGCCUAAUAUAUGCAAGUCGAGCGAACAGACGAGGAGCUUGCUCCUCUGACGUUAGCGGCGGAUGGGUGAGUAACACGUGGAUAACCUACCUAUAAGACUGGGAUAACUUCGCGAAACCGGAGCUCAUACCGGAUACUAUAUUCAACCGCAUGGUUCAUUAGUGAAAGAUGGUAUUGCUGUCACUUAUCGAUGGAUCCGCGUCGCAUUAGCUAGUUGGUAAGGUAACGGCUUACCAAGGCAACGAUGCGUAGCCGACCUGAGAGGGUGAUCGGCCACACUGGAACUGAGACACGGUCCAGACUCCUACGGGAGGCAGCAGUAGGGAAUCUUCCGCAAUGGGCGAAAGCCUGACGGAGCAACGCCGCGUGAGUGAUGAAGGUCUUCGGAUCGUAAAACUCUGUUAUUAGGGAAGAACAAAUGUGUAAGUAACUAUGCACGUCUUGACGGUACCUAAUCAGAAAGCCACGGCUAACUACGUG
rnacentral:rRNA from 1 species